GUGAACGCUGGCGGUAGGCCUAACACAUGCAAGUCGAACGGCAGCACAGUAAGAGCUUGCUCUUACGGGUGGCGAGUGGCGGACGGGUGAGGAAUACAUCGGAAUCUACUUUUUCGUGGGGGAUAACGUAGGGAAACUUACGCUAAUACCGCAUACGACCUACGGGUGAAAGCAGGGGAUCUUCGGACCUUGCGCGAUUGAAUGAGCCGAUGUCGGAUUAGCUAGUUGGCGGGGUAAAGGCCCACCAAGGCGACGAUCCGUAGCUGGUCUGAGAGGAUGAUCAGCCACACUGGAACUGAGACACGGUCCAGACUCCUACGGGAGGCAGCAGUGGGGAAUAUUGGACAAUGGGCGCAAGCCUGAUCCAGCCAUACCGCGUGGGUGAAGAAGGCCUUCGGGUUGUAAAGCCCUUUUGUUGGGAAAGAUAAGCAGCAGGUUAAUACCCCGCUGUUCUGACGGUACCCAAAGAAUAAGCACCGGCUAACUUCGUG
rnacentral:rRNA from 1 species